rnacentral:pre_miRNA from 1 species
UUAGGUUUUCUUCAUUUUUUCUGGAAUUUUUCUAGGAUUCUUGUUGAUGGAGAUGAUAUGAAGAUGAAAAAGAGGAGAAG